rnacentral:rRNA from 1 species
UACGAAGGGGACUAGCGUUGUUCGGAAUUACUGGGCGUAAAGCGCACGUAGGCGGCUUUGUAAGUCAGGGGUGAAAUCCCGGGGCUCAACCUCGGAACUGCCUUUGAUACUGCAAAUCUCGAGUCCGAUAGAGGUGGGUGGAAUUCCUAGUGUAGAGGUGAAAUUCGUAGAUAUUAGGAAGAACACCGGUGGCGAAGGCGGCCCACUGGAUCGGUACUGACGCUGAGGUGCGAAAGCGUGGGGAGCGAACAGG